CCUACGGGAGUCUGCAGUGAGGAAUAUUGGUCAAUGGACGAGAGUCUGAACCAGCCAAGUAGCGUGAAGGAUGACUGCCCUAUGGGUUGUAAACUUCUUUUAUAUGGGAAUAAAACGUUCCACGUGUGGGAUUUUGUAUGUACCAUAUGAAUAAGGAUCGGCUAACUCCGUGCCAGCAGCCGCGGUAAUACGGAGGAUCCGAGCGUUAUCCGGAUUUAUUGGGUUUAAAGGGAGCGUAGGGGGAUUGUUAAGUCAGUUGUGAAAGUUUGCGGCUCAACCGUAAAAUUGCAGUUGAAACUGGCAGUCUUGAGUACAGUAGAGGUGGGCGGAAUUCGUGGUGUAGCGGUGAAAUGCUUAGAUAUCACGAAGAACUCCGAUUGCGAAGGCAGUUCACUGGACUGCAACUGACACUGAGGCUCGAAAGUGUGGGUAUCAAACAGGAUUAGAUACCCCGGUAGUC
rnacentral:rRNA from 1 species